CUAAAAUAUGUAAUUAUAGCCUAUCAUCAAGAUCACAUACCCAUAUUCAUGAUCACGAAUGACAAUCCAAGCACAGAAACCAGCAAAAACCAUCAAUUAAAAUAUGAAGAAAAAUGGUUCGAAAUCAAUAUGAAACACGCUCGAGCCCCUCGGAACCACGUAGGAACAUUCCAACAAGUCCCAUAACAUAAUAUAGACCUACUCGAGGCCUUAAAAUAUGGAUAACAGU
rnacentral:lncRNA from 1 species